GGCGAGUGGCGGACGGGUGAGGAACGCAUCGGAAUCUGCCCAGUCGCGGGGGAUAACGUAGGGAAACUUACGCUAAUACCGCAUACGACCGAGAGGUGAAAGCGGGGGAUCGAAAGACCUCGCGCGAUUGGAUGAGCCGAUGCCGGAUUAGCUUGUUGGUGGGGUAACGGCCCACCAAGGCGACGAUCCGUAGCUGGUCUGAGAGGAUGAUCAGCCACACUGGGACUGAGACACGGCCCAGACUCCUACGGGAGGCAGCAGUGGGGAAUAUUGGACAAUGGGGGCAACCCUGAUCCAGCAAUGCCGCGUGUGUGAAGAAGGCCUUCGGGUUGUAAAGCACUUUUAUCGGGAAAGAAACACGCAGGGUUAAUACCCUUGCGGACUGACGGUACCCGAUGA
rnacentral:rRNA from 1 species